UAGUGAGUUUGAUCCUGGCUCAGGAUGAACGCUAGCGGCAGGCCUAAUACAUGCAAGUCGAACGGAUGUCAGCAAUGGCAUUAGUGGCGCACGGGUGCGUAACGCGUGGGAACCUGCCUUAGGUUCGGAAUAACAGUGAGAAAUUACUGCUAAUACCGCAUAACCCAACAACACGGCAUCGUGUAGUUGGUAAAGAUUUAUUGGUUUCGGAUGGGGUUGCGUGACAUUAGCUAGUUGGUGGGGUAAUGGCCCACCGAAGGCGACGAUGCAUAGCCGACCUGAGAGGGUGAUCGGCCACACUGGGACUGAGACACGG
rnacentral:rRNA from 1 species